CAUCACAGCCAGGGAAUUCCUCUCCCCCACCUCCAGAAGAGGGGGACAAGGAGGUCUACACCCCCAACCAGGAGGUUGUUUGAAAACUUAAAAGAAGGCUCCUUGAGCAUCAGAAAUCUGAAGCCAAUGAAAUGCUGGCUAUAAAAGCCCAAGAAAAUAAAAUCCGGCUACUUCAAGCUCGCUUACAGAAGCAUCAGCGAGUUGCUGGAGAUCCAGAAAGAACUCCAAAGUUUGCC